CUGGCUCAGGAUGAACGCUGGCGGCGUGCUUAACACAUGCAAGUCGAGCGAAGCACUUAAGUUUGAUUCUUCGGAUGAAGACUUUUGUGACUGAGCGGCGGACGGGUGAGUAACGCGUGGGUAACCUGCCUCAUACAGGGGGAUAACAGUUAGAAAUGGCUGCUAAUACCGCAUAAGACCACAGUACUGCAUGGUACAGUGGUAAAAACUCCGGUGGUAUGAGAUGGACCCGCGUCUGAUUAGGUAGUUGGUGAGGUAACGGCCCACCAAGCCGACGAUCAGUAGCCGACCUGAGAGGGUGACCGGCCACAUUGGGACUGAGACACGGCCCAGAUUCCUACGGGAGGCAGCAGUGGGGAAUAUUGCACAAUGGGCGAAAGCCUGAUGCAGCGACGCCGCGUGAAGGAUGAAGUAUUUCGGUAUGUAAACUUCUAUCAGCAGGGAAGAAAAUGACGGUACCUGACUAAGAAGCCCCGGCUAACUACGUGCCAGCAGCCGCGGUAAUACGUAGGGGGCAAGCGUUAUCCGGAUUUACUGGGUGUAAAGGGAGCGUAGACGGCUGUGCAAGUCUGAAGUGAAAGGCAUGGGCUCAACCUGUGGACUGCUUUGGAAACUGUGCAGCUAGAGUGUCGGAGAGGUAAGUGGAAUUCCUAGUGUAGCGGUGAAAUGCGUAGAUAUUAGGAGGAACACCAGUGGCGAAGGCGGCUUACUGGACGAUGACUGACGUUGAGGCUCGAAAGCGUGGGGAGCAAACAGGAUUAGAUACCCUGGUAGUCCACGCCGUAAACGAUGACUGCUAGGUGUCGGGUAGCAAAGCUAUUCGGUGCCGCAGCUAACGCAAUAAGCAGUCCACCUGGGGAGUACGUUCGCAAGAAUGAAACUCAAAGGAAUUGACGGAAGGGCGAA
rnacentral:rRNA from 1 species